CUCAGGCAGCAACCAGCUGCCACCCUGCUGUGCUGUUUGGGUUAUCUUAGUGCCUGUUAUGUGCUAGGUCUUGCCCCACAAAAUCGGUGUUGCUCCUUAAUGUCCUGUUACUGGAUGUGACAGUGGUUUGCAGCUGGCAGAUAGCCUUUUGUCUGAGCAAGGCAACUUGAUGUUCGUGGGCCUGGUGUUUCCUUGGCCUCAAAGAGCCCCUGCCGCUGGGUGAGCUCUAGCCCCCCUCAGGUGCAUGGCAGGCAUCAGACCCCACUGCUGCCAAGGCAGCAGUCCCCACACCUUGUGGGGUAACCUCCUGAGGUCACCCAUCCCCUGGGAUUUUAGAUACCAGUGGUAUAUGCUUCCUAAAUCCAAAGGGACUAAAACUCAGAGUUUUUGCUUCUCAGGGAUGGCGUAUCCUUUACUAAUCCACAGAAUGGGAUUGGGCUGUUCAGACUUGCUGUCCCAGCAGCAGCAGAUACCAGAAGUCUGGAUCCAGUGUGGUGCCUGAAACUUUCUCUGGCAAUAUUUAAAUAGGGUAUGUCGUACAGGUGGCUCUGUGACAGCCAAAGCAGCACGGCCUUUAUCACCUCCGGGGCCUGUAGAUGCUGCUGUAACACAACCAAGGAAACUGUAAAAAACUGAAGGCAGCUGUCUUGUUCUUGAUGAGCUGAUCUACGAAUUACCUACAGCCCUGUUAAAAGGGGAAAUCUUAUAUGGCAGCUGCGUGACAAGCUCCUGGAGGAGAAGGGCAAGGCCCUGAAGCACGGUGGGAGCUGGGUGAUUGCGCCCUGCCAGUGAGGAACAGCUCCCUUGUCCAGGCAUCUCGCCUGAAUGCUUCAAAAAAGGGCAUUCGUGGAAAGCUUUGUGGCAAUCAGUUGCGAUCUUUGCUUCCAUAAAAAGGUCUUCAGGCCUCCUGGAAAGCAAAAGAAAGGCGUGGGGAAAGAAGAAAGGUGAAGCCCAGGCUCUGCUUCAGGCAUACCUUUGUUACCAGGCCUUUCAUAAGUGCUCAUUGACUCAAGUGUUAAGCCUUGUUUGUGUGGCUUUUUGUUGGACUAGAAACACUGCCUUUCUUACUGGGAGCAAAGUGUACUGACUCGGUGAAGGGAUUUUCUCAAAUCAGGCUUUUCCAGGUUUUAUGGUGCUCUAGCCUUUAUUUUCUACAUGGAUAUUAUGCUCCUUACCGGGGAUGCCAUGGAAAUGAGGAAAACCAAAACAACCAGCAUAAAGUAGAAAUCCUGCACCUUAACAAUGGAGCCUUGCACAGAUCGAGAAACAGAAGGCCACAUUUAGAAAACAGGUCGCUCUUGAUGGACUCAGACCUUGGAUUUGAGAUUUUGUGCCAGGUGAGCUAUUCAGCUGCAUUAACACCAUGCUGUACAGUGAGCUCUGUGGACAGAAGAAUAUUGCAGGCUGUAGGAAUGUGAGAUAAAGUAAAAUCGAACAGGCCAGAAACAAUCUGUUUCACUGAACAAAGAAAUCUCAGUCUAUGAUUAACUUUAUUUCGAGUCAAGAGUAGGGCAGAUCUAGGCUCUUUCAUGGCAUGAUAGUGAACAAUACAAGCCCUGUAGCAGGGAGAGCAUACCACGACUGGAUUAUCUGCGCUAAACAUACUUCAGAGAAGUUCCAUCAGGUUUACUUUAUCCCGACAAACGCUCAUUUAAUGCAGUCGUUACAGCAGUGCAAACCACAGGUUUGCAAUAAGCCAUGCUUGUGGGGCUCAUCUCAGACGCUGGCCUUAUGAAACAAGUUUUGUUAGCAAAUUUGUCUUUUUGCAUCAAACUGCAAUGAUAUGGAAAACAGAAAAGAAUUUUAUAAGAUUAGAAGAAUCAAUGAUUUAUGGACUCCAACAUUGUGAGACGAAGACAAUUUAACACGUUUGGCAGCUUAACAGGUUUGGGGGAAAACCAUGAAACUUGCGUUCCUUGUAAGGCAAGCAGAACUCUUAGGGUAAAGAGUUUAUGUUGCUUUCAUUGUUUCAAAGGAAAAUUAAGUUAAAUACAGAAAAAAAUGGCAUUUUGUAUGCCUGGCAGACUGGAAAAUAUUUUGGGAAGAUUUCAGUUACAACUGGAUCUUCAAAGUGAACAUAAACAGAAAGAAACGAUACUGAAGCCCGUUUAUAAAUAGCUUGAGUUUGCAAGAGUUACAUCUUUGGUUUCUUACUGCUAGUCUAAAGUGAAUCCUACACAGAGGAGUAGGUAUGACCCAGGUGUGCUAUAGGUAUGCUAUAAAUUUAUUGCUCAGCCAAAUGUAUUUUUUCUUGGCCAAACUGAAAGAGAGCACCAUGAAUUAACAACUCAGCCUCCUGCCCAAAGACAGACUAGAGGGUCUGAGAAUCAGAAGGCACGGGGCUAAGGCAUGUACAGAAGGAUGGAGUGGAAAAAUAAAUGUAAAGACUGGAGAACAAUGUUCUUGGUACAGGUGAGGCUUUGAAAGAAAAGAUUGUCUUUGGCCAUCUUAAAAGCAACAACUUGUUGUCCUGUAUAAAAGCACUGGUAAUACUGAGCACUUUGAUCAUGAUUUCUUAUCCUCGCUGGUGUUUCAUUGGAUCAAAAGAUGACGUGCAGCUAAGUAAUACAGCUUGCGCUGGGACACCUGGAGAAGACCCUUUCCUCUGAAGAAUUUGAUAUGUUGUGGGUGCAGAGAUGACAUACUUAGUGGGCAAAAAGGACGCUCCCGCUACAUGGUCCUGCUUCUAUAUAAUAAGUGUGGGAAACAUGCUAGGAUAUUUUUUUACCUCAUUGUUCCUGAACGUUUCACAUGAAGAAUGGUGGGCAGAGAGCAGAAAAGCAGAGGAUGGUUUGGGCCAUGGUUACAAAGCACUGUGAAAGUGGGUAACAAACCUUUUAAAACAGAAAGAUACAGAAUACACUAAAACUACUUAAAGCCACACUCAAAAAUCUUCAAGAAAAGCCUCUGAUACAAUACCUUAAUAAAGACCCUUUCAUGUGAUGUGACUUUUUCUCUUACAUGAGUUCUUUGCGACUUAAAGGGUUUUUCUUUUCUUUUAAAUACAGCACUUAGAUUAAUGUGUAAAACAUAGAGGUAAUUUAAUCUAGAGAUGUUUAGAGCGCCUGUGAACUUUUCCAUUUGGUUAUUUUAAACCAAUUUCCUUAGCAGACAUUGAGUGAUGAUGGGUGGCUAAGGGAAUGAUUUGGCGCAAUGAUUUUGUGAACAAGA